rnacentral:lncRNA from 1 species
CCCAGAUCUAGGAUUUCCCUCGGAACAUCCCGAGCCUGAUGACACAAACUGCAACGACUAUGCCUUGACAAAGGAACGACAUCAAAGACGCGCCCAUCAUCCGCCAUGACCAUAGUGAGCGUGAUCUUCAUCGGUAGGUGCGCCAUCAGGCGUGCGCCGUCGGUGUCGUUGGUCCCUUCAAUAGGAGCAAAUUCCAAAACGAUGCCCUCAACGGGGACUACGACGUGAAGCACCGCCAACGCUUGAUCCCAAGAAGAUCUACGGUUUCUCCCGGAGUAGCCUGUGUUGUCAUCGACUAGACAAGGUAGAUUCCCGAUGGGUCCACCUAGUUGCCGACAUGUCACAUCCGCCACCGCAUCGACUGCAAUCCAAGGACCAAGGCCCACACCUGGGCCAGGUUCCGGUCAUGCCGCCGUCAACCGAUCUGGUCACGCCGUAGCCCUCCCUGACGACUGUGACGCAUCAGCCACCAAAGGUGGCCCCGCGCCGCCCAAGGCGUCGUUGGCCAGAUCUGGAACAGACCGACCACCGGCCACCACAGGAGCGCCGCGAGUGGCCCCUCACGCGACUACCAUGGGGCAUCUAGAUGAUGGAUGCAUCCAUUUUAUUAAUUAUUCACAAGGACUAUAGAAGGUAAUACAUAAGUCACUCUGAAGUCGUUAUCUAGGCAACACCUUUUGCUACUUGUAUUCCCUUGAUGAAGGUGUGUCAAAUGUCCGGACCUAAUACCAAAUAGACAUCACACCAAACUCUAACAUCCAUAACCAGAUGCCCCAACCCAACCACAUACCGGGACUGGGUCCCACACCGGUCCGACGCACUCUCGUUGUCGUCGCAAUCUUCCACCGGUCCAUCUUUAGAGCAGGAACUUAUGCAUCGACCUUGUCUGGCUUGCCGUCGAUGCCACCAUGGCAACAAAAAACGCCACCAUCCUCCACGUGUCUAUCCAUACGCGCUUGUCGCCGAAAUUCCGCAUCUCUGUGCCACCGUGAUCCACCUCCGGCCCUGCGGUAGAUGCAACACCGCUCCUCCUCUUGUCCCCUCCAGCCAUCACUUGCUCCAAAACGAUGCACCCGGGAGGAAAAGUUAUACUAACGCCAUCAUCGUUCGAUCAGGAAGACCCAGAUCUAGGAUUUCCCUCGGAGCAUCCCGAGCCUGAUGACACAAACUGCAACGACUAUGCCUUGACAAAGGAACAACAUCAAAGACGUGGCCAUCGUCCGCCAUGACCAUAGUGAGUGUGAUUUUCAUCGGUAGUUGCGCCAUCAGGCGUGCGCCGUCGGCGUCGUUGGUCCCUUCAAUAGGAGCAAACUCCAAAACGAUGCCCUCAACGGGGACUACGACGUGAAGCACCGCCAUGGCUUGAUCCCAAGAAGAUCUACGGUUUCUCCCGGAGUAGCCGUGCUGUCAUCGACCACACAAGGUAGAUUCCCGACGGGUCCACCU